UCAAGCUACAAAGGGCGCAUGGUGAAUGCCUUGGCAUCAGGAGCCGAUGAAGGACGUGAUAAGCUGCGAUAAGCUUCGGGUAGGCGCACAUAGCCUGAGAUCCGAAGAUCUCCGAAUGAGGAAACUCACAUGGGAAACCCCAUGUAUCAUUAAGUGAAUACAUAGCUUAAUGAAGGUAACCCAGGGAACUGAAACAUCUAAGUACCUGGAGGAAGAGAAAGAAAAAUCGAUUUUCUUAGUAGCGGCGAGCGAAAGGGAAAGAGCCCAAACCGGAAACUUGUUUCCGGGGUUGUGGACAUAGCAUAAAAGUGGAGGCUAUUGUAACUGAAGAGAACUGGAAAGUUCCACCGUAGAAGGUAAUAGUCCUGUAAGUGAAACGAGAAGACCACGAGUUAUGAUCCAGAGUACCACGAGACACGUGAAACCUUGUGGGAAGCAGGGAGGACCACCUCCCAAGGCUAAAUACUACCUGAUGACCGAUAGUGAAGCAGUACCGUGAGGGAAAGGUGAAAAGAACCCCGGGAGGGGAGUGAAAUAGAACCUGAAACCGUGUGCCUACAACCGCUCAGAGCCCCUUAUGAGGGUGAUGAGGUGCUUUUUGUAGAACGAGCCAACGAGUUACGGUAUGUAGCAAGGUUAAGUACUUAAGGUACGGAGCCGAAGGGAAACCGAGUCUGAAUAGGGCGACUAGUUGCAUGCCGUAGACCCGAAACCGGGUGACCUAUCCAUGGCCAGGUUGAAGCGAGGGUAAAACCUCGUGGAGGACCGAACCACGUUGCUGUUGAAAAAGCAUGGGAUGAGCUGUGGAUAGCGGAGAAAUUCCAAUCGAACCCGGAGAUAGCUGGUUCUCUCCGAAAUAGCUUUAGGGCUAGCGUCGAGUAUGAGUAGUGGAGGUAGAGCACUGAAUGGGCUAGGGGGCAUAGCGCUUACCGAACCUUAUCAAACUCCGAAUGCCACAUACUUUGAGCUCGGCAGUCAGACUACGAAUGAUAAGAUCCGUGGUCAAAAGGGAAACAGCCCAGAUCGUCAGCUAAGGUCCCAAAGUGUAAGUUAAGUGGGAAAGGAUGUGAGAUUUCUAAGACAACUAGGAUGUUGGCUUAGAAGCAGCCAUUCAUUAAAAGAGUGCGUAAUAGCUCACUAGUCGAGAGAUCUUGCGCCGAAAAUGUAACGGGGCUAAACUUACCACCGAAGCUACGGGCUUGAACUUAGUUCAAGCGGUAGGAGAGCGUCGUAACCGGGCUGAAGUCGUACCGUAAGGAGCGGUGGACUGGUUACGAGUGAGAAUGUUGGCAUCAGUAGCGAGAUGUGGGUGAGAAUCCCACAGGCCGAAAACCUAAGGUUUCCUCAGGAAGGUUCGUCCGCUGAGGGUUAGUCGGGACCUAAGCCGAGGCCGAAAGGCGUAGGUGAUGGACAACUGGUUGAUAUUCCAGUACCACUACCAUCGUUAUUAUCGAUGGCGUGACGCAGGAGGAUAGUGUGUGCUAGCUAUUGGAUGCUAGUCUAAGCGUUUAGGCAGUGAGAGUAGGCAAAUCCGCUCUCAUAAUGCUGAGGCGUGAUGGGGAAGGUUCCACGGAACCGAAGUACAUGAUUCCACGCUGCCAAGAAAAGCGUCUAGAGAGAGAAGUAGUGCCCGUACCGCAAACCGACACAGGUAGGUGAGGAGAGAAUCCUAAGGCCGGCGGAAGAAUUACAGUUAAGGAACUCGGCAAAUUGACCCCGUAAGUUCGCGAGAAGGGGUGCCUACGAGAGUAGGCCGCAGAGAAUAGGCCCAAGCAACUGUUUAGCAAAAACACAGGUCUCUGCUAAAGCGUAAGCUGAUGUAUAGGGGCUGACGCCUGCCCGGUGCUGGAAGGUUAAGGGGAACACUUAGCGCAAGCGAAGGUGUGAACUUAAGCCCCAGUAAACGGCGGCCGUAACUAUAACGGUCCUAAGGUAGCGAAAUUCCUUGUCAGGUAAGUUCUGACCCGCACGAAUGGCGUAAUGACUUGGGCACUGUCUCAACUGUAAAUCCGGCGAAGUUGUAGUGCGAGUGAAGAUGCUCGCUACCCGCGAUUGGACGGAAAGACCCCGUAGAGCUUUACUGUAGCUUAGCAUUGAGUUUUGGUAUUGUCUGUACAGGAUAGGUGGGAGACUAGGAAACCAGGGCGUCAGCCUUGGUGGAGUCAACCUUGGGAUACCACCCUGACAGUACUGAAAUUCUAACUGGCGGCCAUGAAUCUGGUCACAGGACAUUGUUAGGUGGGCAGUUUGACUGGGGCGGUCGCCUCCUAAAAAGUAACGGAGGCGCCCAAAGGUUCCCUCAGAACGGUCGGAAAUCGUUCGAAGAGUGCAAAGGCAGAAGGGAGCCUGACUGCGACACCCACAAGUGGAGCAGGGACGAAAGUCGGGCUUAGUGAUCCGGUGGUACCUCGUGGGAGGGCCAUCGCUCAACGGAUAAAAGCUACCUCGGGGAUAACAGGCUGAUCUCCCCCAAGAGUCCACAUCGACGGGGAGGUUUGGCACCUCGAUGUCGGCUCGUCGCAUCCUGGGGCUGAAGUAGGUCCCAAGGGUUGGGCUGUUCGCCCAUUAAAGCGGCACGCGAGCUGGGUUCAGAACGUCGUGAGACAGUUCGGUCCCUAUCCGUCGCGGGCGUAGGAAAUUUGAGAGGAGCUGUCCUUAGUACGAGAGGACCGGGAUGGACUGACCUCUGGUGUACCAGUUGUUCCGCCAGGAGCACAGCUGGGUAGCUAAGUCGGGAAUGGAUAAACGCUGAAAGCAUCUAAGCGUGAAGCCAACCUCAAGAUGAGAUUUCCCAUAGCAUAAGCUAGUAAGAUCCCUUGAAGAACACAAGGUUGAUAGGUCGGGGGUGUAAGCAUGGUAACAUGUUCAGCUGACCGAUACUAAUAGAUCGAGGGCUUGACCAA
rnacentral:rRNA from 1 species